AUGACUGGCGGCGGCCUACACAUGCAAGUCGAGCGGAUGAAAGGAGCUUGCUCCUGGAUUCAGCGGCGGACGGGUGAGUAAUGCCUAGGAAUCUGCCUGGUAGUGGGGGACAACGUUUCGAAAGGAACGCUAAUACCGCGUACGUCCUACGGGAGAAAGCAGGGGACCUUCGGGCCUUGCGCUAUCAGAUGAGCCUAGGUCGGAUUAGCUAGUUGGUGAGGUAAUGGCUCACCAAGGCGACGAUCCGUAACUGGUCUGAGAGGAUGAUCAGUCACACUGGAACUGAGACACGGUCCAGACUCCUACGGGAGGCAGCAGUGGGGAAUAUUGGACAAUGGGCGAAAGCCUGAUCCAGCCAUGCCGCGUGUGUGAAGAAGGUCUUCGGAUUGUAAAGCACUUUAAGUUGGGAGGAAGGGUUGUAGAUUAAUACUCUGCAAUUUUGACGUUACCGACAGAAUAAGCACCGGCUAACUCUGUGCCAGCAGCCGCGGUAAU
rnacentral:rRNA from 1 species